AAACAGUCAUAUUUUUAGAAAGAAAAAGAUAUUUUCUAAAAAUAGAUGAGUUGUUAAUGGUUCUCUUUCUCCUACAGACACCCACGCCAACAUGGAAGAGCUUUUUUUUCCAGUACCUUUCCCUUUGGUUUCAACUAACAACUUCCUGAGCUAAACACAGGCCUUCCGCUGUUGGAUAAAGAGCUUCUCUGGGCAAGAAGAUGACAGUUCUGGAAUAUAAAGACGCUCUCUACUUUUGAGGUACCCACUGUCUUCUAAUAUUAACUAUUAAGUAUACAUUGGUCUUCUUUUUAGGGUUAAACUCUAGCCACAUUUGCCUCCUUGCUGUUACUCAAACAAGCUACAAAUAUUCUUGCCUAAGGCCUUUGCACCAGCUGUUCUCUCUGUUGCCUUGUCUUCCCCCAUAAAUUGGCAUGGCUCACUCCCUUGCUGUCUACAGGUACUUGCACAAACUUCACCUUCUCAAUGAAGUCUUCCCUGACUAUAAUCUAUCAUCUUCAUGGAUUAAUUUUUCUCCAUAAACACCUCCCUGUUGAGUUUUUCCACUUAGUUCUUAUUAUUUUUCCUACCCCACUAAAAUACAAAGUUGACCAGGUGCAAUAGCUCACACCUGGAACCUCAACACUUUGGGGGCUCAAAGUGGGAGGAGUUUGAGACCACCCUGGGCAGCAUAGUGAGACUCUAUCUCUAAAAAAAAAAAAAAAAAAAAAUCAGCCAGGCAUGGUGUUGAGUGCCUGCAGUGCUACUCAGAAGGUUGAGUCCAGGAGUUUGAGGCUGAGCGAGCUGUGAUUGUGCCACUGCAUUUCAGCCUGAAUAACAUAGGGAUACCUGGUCUCAAAAAAAAAAAAAAAAAAAAGAAGAAGAAGAAGAAGAAGCAGGAGCAGCACACUCUAUGAGGGUAAAACUUUUGACUAAUUUGUUCACCCAAUAUCCCCACUACCUAGAAUGGUGCCUGACACAUAGUAGUCCAAUAUACUAUUUCAUAUAGUACUCCUGACACUGGAAGGGUCCUUCUCAGCAUUCCAGUUUCAGGUUAAAUGUCACCUCAGAGACACCUUUCUUGACCACAUUAUUUAAAGUACCAUCAUCUCAUUCUAGUUAUACUCUCUCCUAAUACUCUUACACUUUCUUCACAUGCUUAUACACAUCUGAAAUUAUUUUACUAUUUGUUCACUUCUUUACUGUCAACUUCUUGCUGUCAUAGAGUACAGAGUCCUUCUCUACCUUGCUCACAGCUGAUCCCAGACCCUAGAACUGAACAUUGCCAGAUACAUAGUAGGUGCUCCAUAAAAUAUCUAAUGAAUGAAUGAAUGGAUCUGAGUCCUUUGUGCUUUUCAUUACUUUACUGUAAUGCUCAUACAAACCUAUCUUUAAAUCUCACUUAUGCCUUUUUGCUCUGAAUAUUCUGACUGUAGUUUCCAUGUAAAAUAUAACUUUAGUUGUCUGGUGACCCACUGUCUUCCAAUCUUAUAAAACACUCCAGUCUUCACAUAAACAACUAUAAUAACAACAAAAUCCUAAGCAGAGGAAUUUACUAUCCUUGGGCUAAUAAAGGUAAGUUCCUCCUGUUGGGUCUUGUUUUAUCCACAGCCAUUUUACUUCUAUAUCUUUUACUUUUCUGAGCUGAAUUUACUGAGCAGCAAAAGUAAAAUCCUUUAAUCUUCCAUUUUGGGGCCUAUGUUUGAAAAGGAUUAAAGAGUCAAACAAAAUUAGUUUCCAAACCUUCAAUUUUCCAGGCCCACAGGCACUCUCCCUCUCCUCAGAAAUGAAGGUGGCUUUGAGCCAUCUGUUACUUCCCAUGAAACAUUUCUCUCGGCUGUCACAGCUGAUUGCUGUACUUCUUUUCAUAUAUAAGAGAAAAUGAAAGAAAGACAGGAAAGAAAGACAGAAAAGAAAGGACCCAAAAAAAAAAAAAUAGGGCUAUUCUAUCCACCUUCAUGCACAGUUUGUUUACUGGUCCUCUAGUUUCCUUGGGAGACCCUGCCAAAAAGAGGUGUCAUUUAACUAACAACAGCAAUUUCUCAUUAAACCCCUAAUUUAAACAAGACUCAGAGUGGAAAAUUGCAAAACAAGAAGCUUGCAAAUUGCAUCAAAGCAGUGUUAUUAGACAUGGGAGUAAAGGACCCUGUAUGAUGCAGGCUCUUGAGAUGAAUCCUAUAAGAUAAAUUUAGGGCUUUGUGCAUAGGCUGCUGUGGGAACUGGCACCUCUUACUUGGAGUUACAUGUAUCCUGGAGAUACAUGUGACUACUGGCAGUAACCCAAGUUCUUUUGAGAGAUGGAAACAUUGACUAAAGGUAGGGUAACCGUAUGUCCUGAUUUGCCAGCAGGAACAGUCUCAUAUUAUGCCUGUUGUCCCAGGACCAUUAUUAAUAGUGCCUUCUUUCUCUCUCAAAAGUGUGCCGGUUUGGACAAAAAAUUCUAUGGUCAUCCUAACUGAAGAUCAGGAUGGCUGAUUAAAUAAUAAAAAGCAUAUAUGUUCUCAUCUGGUGUGGACUGCAAACGUGUUUGGAUGGCAAAGAUAAAUCUUGCCAAGUUUCACCCAUGUGCAACUAAGCUCAUCGACUGAUUGACUCUUGGCUGGCUAGAAUCUUGGGCAGCCCAACUCAGACUGUUUGCAACCAGACUUCUCAGCUUUGGUGUUGUAAAAACUGAAGGCAGCUAAUCCCAGAGAAGCAUUUACAAUUUGCCCAAUGAGCCAAAAGAACUUAAUUUGACUCUCUCUUGUUUGGUUACUUUCUCCUCUCGCCUUAUUAUCAAGUCCUGUACUGCUCAAUUCAGUGACCACUAGCCAUAUGUGGCUACUGAGCACUUGAAAUGUGGCUAGUUUGAACUGAGAUGUGCUCUAAGUACACUGGAUUUUGAAGACUUUGUACAAAAAAAAAGUAAACUAUCCCAUUAAUAAUUUUUGUAUUGAUUACAUAUUAAAAUGGUAAUAUUUCAAAUGUACUGAUUUAAAUAAAAUGUAUUAAAAUUAAUACCUAAAA
rnacentral:lncRNA from 1 species